GGAGGGUUGGCAGAGUGGUUGAUUGCACCGGUCUUGAAAACCGGCAUGCCUUUACGGGCAUCUGGGGUUCGAAUCCCUAACCCUCCGCCA
rnacentral:tRNA from 1 species